AUUGAACGCUAGCGGGAUGCCUUACACAUGCAAGUCGAACGGAGUGUCGAACGUGUGAGUAAUGUAUCUGAACGUGCCCAGUAGCGGGGGAUAACUACGCGACAGCGUAGCUAAUACCGCAUACUAUUGGAGCGGCCGAUAUCGGAUUGGCUCGUUGGGGGGGUAACGGCUCACCAAGGCGACGAGCCGUAGCUGGUUUGAGAGGACGACCAGCCACACUGGUACUGAGAAACGGCCCAGACUCCUACGGUAGGCAGCAGGGGGGAAUGUUGGACAAUGGGGGAAACCCUGAUCCAGCCAUCCCGCGUGUGCGAUGAAGGCCUUAGGGUUGUAAAGCACUUUUGGCAGGAAAGCGGUACCUGCAGAAUAAGCACCGGCUAACUACGUGCCAGCAGCCGCGGUAAUAC
rnacentral:rRNA from 1 species